UUGAGCAGGAGUACUUUGCUGCAGCACAUUUAAGCCUAAUUGUCAGAGGAGAAAAGCAAGCAGAACUCAGAGGUGAGUUAGAAGAGCAUCCUUAUGAGGAUGAUGUCUUCACUGAAUCAGUGGUGCAAUGCAGCAAGCAGGGUGGAAAGGAGACUCUUCUGGAUAAAAGCACAAAACUGAAAGUGACAAGUAAAGGAAUUGGCUAAGAUGUCUACAGUUGCUGUGAUUUCUAUGAUGGGAGAGGAAUACAAUCAACUAAGCACAGAAAUCUUGUUUUUGCCAAGUGCUGGGCCCCUUGUAAAAUGUUUCAAUCAGUACUAGAAUGCUGAAGACUACCAAAGGACCAAUUAUUUUUUAGAAAGGGCAUGGUUCUAGCUUCAACAACCAAAUGCUACACUGCAAAGAGAUUAAUCAGAGCAAGGAAAAACAGCAGAGGACCCAACUAGAAUAGCAUCAUAGAACUUCAGCUCAAAUCUUUCAUGUUACAUCUUGAGACAUGAGUUGCAGGUUACCAGCCAAGUUCCAGUUGAUGCUACAUCAAUAUACUUAAGAAGACUGAGAACCCAUGGAGACCCAGCCCCAUGCACUCACGCAAGAAUCAGACACAGCUUAGUAUCUAGCGCCCACUAUUCUGCAAGCAUUUGUGCUGCUACAGUGGUAACUAAAUCAGAGGAACAUAAGCUGUAUGGGAUGGGACCUUUGCUCUACCUCUGGAACACAGUAGAAGAAACAGUAUGCUUUGCUGUUUCCACUGGUGUCACCAGCUCUGCUGCUUAGGUGGCUUCCAGCAGCCCUAAUGGCUUCCAAUGUUUUCCACAGCUGUGAUGCUUCCCUCCACUUCUCCACACAAGGUACUUUCCCCCUACUUCCAUGGCAUAAUGCAGUCCUUAAACACAUUGCUACCAUCCAGGCCAGGAAAAGGGAAUAUUCCAAGUUAAAAAGAACCAAAGAAUAUUCAAGAAUCUGCAACGAAAGCUACAAUUUUAUGCACUGUGAAGCAUCCAUCAACAAAAUACACAGAGCUAGUGCCAUAAAAUAAUUACAUGUGUGGAGCCCAUUGUAAAUACAGCUUUAGAUGCAUUGGCACAGUUGGGGAUGGAACUUAAAAAUAUAGUGAGAAGUAUAUUAUGCAAUGUAUUUUUGUAGUCUGUGAGCCAUAUACUGUGAUAGCAUCAGUUCAGCAAAAUUGCAUGCAGUAGUUCUAUAUCUAUUUGCCAUUACAGCUUUUCUUGAGCAGGGAAACAUUUCUCAAGAGUAUUAUUUUUCCUGCCAUGAAAUAGAUUUGCCCAUUAUGCCUACAGGGUAACUAUAUCUUAUUCAUUGGUCACUUACUGUCCUACUUUAACCAAUGAAGGGUAAUGAAACUGAGAGUUAUUUUGAGCCCUAUAACACUCUCUUGCAUCCAGAUCAGUUAAUUCUGAAAUAAAUCCAGGGUAGUUUGAUUUAUUUUUUGAAAGACUGUAUCAUCUCUUUUACAGAAGAGGCAUUUUGUAUUGUUUGGUUUGCCUUAUGGGAAGAGACUGUGGUGGCUGCUGUUGAAUAGAAAAGGUAAGACAAGGGUAAAACAUUUUAUAAUGAAGUCGAGACCAACCAACAAAACCAGGUUCACCGCAAAUGAUGAGUCAUGGGUAUGGUGACACAGAUAUAAGAGUCUAUUACUAAACCACAUUUUGGCCCUAAUAGGGUGAGUGACCUCUAUUAUGAUGAACAAUGAAAAGAGGCUGCCAGUUAUACAUAUGUUUGAAGUCCCAUAUUUAUUUUAGCCUUGUGUCACGGCGGGGUCCGUCAGGAGGGUCGUGAUCUCCUUGAGGCCCUCUCUCCGUGCCAAUUCGGCCCAAGGGCACCCUCG